GCGUGUCCACCUCGUGAAGGUGUAAGUAGCAUGGUCAGUCCGGGAGUGAUGAGCAUCUCCGGAAACCUGAUGGAUUUCCUUGACGAGCCAUUCCCUGAUGUGGGGACCUACGAGGACUUCCACACCAUUGACUGGCUGAGGGAAAAGUCACGGGACACUGACAGACACAGAAAGAUAACCAGCAAAAGCAAGGAGUCCAUCUGGGAGUUCAUCAAGAGUCUUCUGGACGCCUGGUCAGGAUGGGUAGUGAUGCUGCUCAUCGGGCUGCUGGCGGGCACCUUGGCUGGUGUCAUCGAUCUUGCUGUUGACUGGAUGACCGAUCUGAAGGAGGGUGUCUGCCUGUCUGCCUUCUGGUACAGCCAUGAGCAGUGCUGCUGGACGUCCAAUGAAACCACUUUUGAGGACAGGGACAAGUGUCCUUUGUGGCAGAAGUGGUCGGAACUGCUGGUGAAUCAGUCAGAGGGUGCCAGCGCUUACAUUCUGAAUUACUUAAUGUACAUCCUGUGGGCAUUGCUGUUUGCCUUUUUGGCCGUCUCACUGGUGCGCGUAUUUGCACCAUAUGCCUGUGGCUCUGGUAUACCAGAGAUAAAGACCAUUUUGAGCGGCUUUAUCAUCAGAGGCUACUUGGGGAAGUGGACACUGCUAAUCAAGACAGUCACCCUGGUGCUGGUCGUGUCCUCUGGCCUGAGCCUUGGGAAAGAGGGGCCUCUGGUGCAUGUGGCUUGUUGCUGUGGCAACUUCUUCAGCAGCCUUUUCUCCAAGUAUAGCAAGAAUGAGGGCAAAAGGCGUGAGGUGCUUUCAGCUGCAGCUGCUGCUGGGGUCUCUGUGGCCUUUGGUGCUCCCAUCGGGGGUGUGCUCUUCAGUCUGGAGGAGGUCAGUUACUACUUUCCCUUGAAGACCUUGUGGAGGUCAUUUUUUGCAGCCCUGGUGGCAGCCUUCACACUGCGAUCCAUCAACCCCUUUGGGAACAGCCGCCUGGUUCUCUUUUAUGUGGAGUAUCACACUCCCUGGUACAUGGCUGAACUCUUCCCCUUCAUCCUGCUUGGGGUCUUUGGGGGCUUGUGGGGAACACUCUUCACUCGCUGCAACAUCGCCUGGUGCAGGAGACGCAAAACCACCAGGCUGGGGAAGUACCCAGUGUUGGAGGUCAUUGUGGUGACGGCCAUCACUGCCAUCAUCGCCUACCCCAACCCCUACACACGCCAGAGCACCAGCGAGCUCAUUUCUGAGCUGUUCAAUGACUGUGGGGCCCUUGAGUCUUCCCAGCUCUGUGACUAUAUCAACGACCCCAAUAUGACCCGGCCUGUGGAUGACAUUCCAGACCGGCCCGCUGGGAUCGGGGUUUACACAGCCAUGUGGCAGCUGGCCCUGGCCCUCAUCUUCAAAAUCGUCAUUACCAUAUUUACCUUUGGCAUGAAGAUCCCCUCAGGACUCUUCAUCCCCAGCAUGGCUGUGGGAGCCAUGGCAGGCAGGAUGGUGGGGAUUGGUGUGGAGCAGCUGGCUUACCAUCACCAUGACUGGAUUAUCUUCAGGAACUGGUGCAGACCUGGGGCAGACUGCGUCACCCCAGGACUUUAUGCAAUGGUGGGAGCUGCAGCCUGCCUAGGUGGAGUUACCAGGAUGACAGUAUCACUGGUGGUCAUCAUGUUUGAAUUAACGGGUGGUCUGGAGUACAUUGUGCCCCUGAUGGCGGCAGCCGUGACCAGCAAGUGGGUGGCUGAUGCCUUUGGGAAAGAGGGCAUCUAUGAAGCCCACAUCCACCUGAAUGGGUACCCAUUUCUUGAUGUGAAGGAUGAGUUCACCCACCGUACCCUGGCCACUGAUGUGAUGCGGCCCCGGCGAGGAGAGCCUCCACUCUCCGUGCUCACCCAGGACAGCAUGACUGUGGAGGAUGUGGAGACGCUUAUCAAGGAGACAGAUUACAACGGCUUCCCUGUGGUGGUCUCCAGAGACUCUGAGCGCCUCAUUGGGUUCGCUCAGAGGAGGGAGCUGAUCCUUGCAAUAAAGAAUGCCAGACAGAGGCAGGAGGGCAUUGUGAGCAAUUCCAUCAUGUACUUUACUGAGGAGCCUCCUGAACUGCCAGCCAACAGCCCGCACCCCUUAAAGCUGAGGCGCAUCCUGAAUCUCAGCCCUUUCACGGUCACGGACCACACCCCCAUGGAGACAGUGGUAGACAUCUUCCGGAAACUGGGACUCCGCCAGUGCCUGGUGACUCGGAGUGGGAGACUUCUUGGCAUCAUCACGAAAAAGGAUGUUUUGAGACACAUGGCCCAGAUGGCAAACCAGGACCCUGAAUCCAUCAUGUUUAAUUAGCAACAAGGUGGCAAUUAUUUUGAGAAACAACAUUGACUAUAUCAUUUUAAAAUAAAUAAACAAAUAAAUGAAUGAUACAUUAUUAUCCCAGUGAAAGAUCAUGCACUGGCAGCAGCAGAAACAAAAGCUUUCUUUGAAAGGAGAGAAGAAGGGUGAAAUCUUUUUUUUUUUUUAAAGCAAAACCAUCAAUGAUAGACAUUUCAUAGCUUUAACCCCUUAUGAGUUUCAAGCUGUGUUUCUUAAUGAGUUUGCUAACUGCUGUGGGGGCAUGUGGGUGGUUGUAAAUGAUGUGGUUUCUAUGAUGAUACGGAACACAAAUGCUGAAUGGAGAACCUCUGGCCCUGUCUGCUCAAGGCUGAUGUUUGUUUGUAACUUCAGAACACAUGUGAAGCUUUGAGUCCAAAGAACAAAGGGGUACUGGCAUGGCAAUGUUCUUAUUUAUUGAUUCUUGAAAUUUUGCUGCUAUGUUACUGAAUCAUGCUAACGACAUUUGCACUUACUUUGCUGGAAAAGAAAAAUUAAAGGUGAAGAGUGAAAGCUGCAAGUUACCCCCAGUGGGUGUGCUCAUGACUGUCCCAUUUCUUGCUCCUCUUCUCAGCCCAUUGCCCAUUAUUUUUGCUUAUUUAUCCACUUUUGAGCCAACAUCAUAGAUGCUUGCCAUGAUGACCCUGAAGAAAACAUUUCACUGUGUCAGAUCGACACCUUGGGACUGACGAGCACCUUGGCCUGGAUGAGGAACCACGGAAGCAUGUUGUGUUGCAUGUCGUUCCCUCUCAGGUGAGAGGCUGUAUCCUUAUUUUGAGGGACAUGUACCUGAGUACUGACUUACAUCCCCAUUGCAUUUGCUUCAUUUACUUAUUCCUGUUGCCUGUGCAUUCUUAAUAAUUGAUCAGUCCGGCACUUUCCGUGGGUUGUGGCCUGUAUGCGCUCUGCUUGCCACACGUGUGUUUUAAUUUCCAAGUAGCAUAUAUGCAAGAGUCAAAACUGGCUCCCUACUGUUUCUACUUAUUUUUCCUAUGACUGUGAAGAGGAUGAGGCAUACACGUUCUCAGUGGGAACUCCUCCAAAUGGAUUGGAAGAGAGAUACUAAAUUGAUUCUAAAUCUGUUCCAUUCUCUUCGCUGUAGGAUGCAAAAUGUCCAGUUUUAAUGUCUAAGCAUGCACUUUCAUACGAACAAUCACAGAACAGAAGGACAGAGUUCAAUGUCAUAUAGCCAAUUUAAGAAGUGGGCGUGUGUAUUUGACGUAAUGAUGCAUUUAUUCUUUUCAUCAGGACUUUCUGUCUUUCCUGCAGGGUGGAACUAAGCUGUGUAUUAGGCCCAUUCUGUGAUUAGUCUGAUUUACCUCACUUGCUUCUUCACUUUAGUCUUCAUCCCUCCUUUUGCCCAGAAUCAUCCUCAUCUUUUUCCAUCUCAUUGCCAUUGAAUAUUGAUGUUUCAGGUUCAUGUGCACCUGACUGCAAAUAAUAGGAAACCCAAAAGUAGUGAAGGGCUGAAUAAGAAAUCUGGGGGAGAAGCACCCCAGGGCUGUCUCCAUAAUAUCAACAGGGAUCCAAACUGUUUGGCAUUUCUUUUCUAUCAUCCUCAUCCUCUGUCCUUUGACAUAUUGCCUCAUAGUCGCAAGGUGGUUGCGGAACCUCCAGGUAUUAUGUCUGCUUUCUAAGUGGGAAAAAGAAGACAGAGGCAAUUAACAAGGUGCAAAGUCUGUAUCAGGAGAGCAGAGCUUUCCCCAACAUGUUCAGCAACACCUAUUGGGUAGAAUUCUGUUGCUUGGUGCUCUAUACCUGCAUGCAAGCCUGGGAAGGGCACAUUACUCUCUAAAUGAAAUUUAAGUUUUCCUCAUAAGAAGAGGGAUUGGUUCUUGGUAGGAGAAUAUAUCUGCCAUAUGAAAUUCCCUGUUACUGCCCUUUGCAUCUUCCUUGCCCUUUCAUUCUUGACAAACUCCUCCCAAACAUUCUUCUAACCACUUUGUUUCCUGCGUUUUCUAUCAGAUUGACAUAGACUACCUAAUCAGAAUCUAUCAUUUCUUAGUCUUAAUCAGAAUUGUCAUUUUGAUAGAAACUGAGCUACAAGUGGGGUUCUCUUAAAAAAUUCUAGUUAUAAAGAGUCUUGUUCUCUGGAUUAAAAUGUUUAAGUCAAGUCAUGCUGUCAACUAUGGAAAAUGUUUCCGUUAUCAAUUGCUCCCCUCCAGAUUAACAUCAGAUAGCCACAUCAGCAAGGAAAUGUCCAGUUAACAGAGGAAUUUCAACUUUGGUCUUAGAAUGAAAUUUGUUGUCUCAUUCACAGCACAAAUAUUAAGCAACAAAUCUUAGUGUUAUUAUUGGAGUUUCCACAGAACAUGUGCAGUUGAUCAGGAUUCUCCUGCACUAUAAAUCCUAAAAUUUUAGAGUUUAUCUCAUUUAGUUUCCCUCAUAUCCCUGUGUGUCUCACCUCAAAGCUGGCCAGUAACAGGAAGAGUAUUUGUCAGAGCCUGACCUCUUAUAAUCUGGGAGGCCCUUUUAGCUGAAACAGAUAGCUUUAGAGAGAACAGAAAAUAGUACACAGGUAGCCAAAGGUCAGUGAAACAGCAGAAUUUUCAUCUAACCUAGAGGCCAUGGAAGGGGCUGAGGGGAUGGUUUUCUCCAGGCCAGGGUCACCAAGAGGGAAGUUGAGAGUUGUGCCCUUCUCCCAGUGCUCAGCACAGAGAUGUUCAGGACUGUAUCGGAAGCCAUUGCAAGAAUGACUUUGGAAAUAAUCCAGUCUUCUUUUCUUUGCAAGUUGAUCCUGGAGUAUGGUGUGGGAAGACUCAGACUCUCCUCCAUAGGAAGACAGGGUCAGAUAGGCAGGGGAAGGGCAGGGAUGGGGAGUCUGUAGUCAGGACUGCUAUAGUUAAUGGCCUUCUUCCCAAGGAGUCCACCUUAGCCACGUGGUCCACUCACUGGCUAAGUCAGGCCUCAUCCGAGUUCCAAAGGGACAUUGCCCAGCUCUGGGUCACUCUUGUAGAAGUACCCAGGUGGGAUUCUGAGGGUGUUUGCUGUAUGCCAGUGCAGAAUUUCAAUCCACUUUACCUGGUGCGAGGUAAAAUAAAUAUCUUUCUGAACAAUGUUUGUUUCUUUUCCAGAUAUUUGUAUAACUCUUUUCUCUGAAUCUGUUUUUAAUGUACAAAACCAUGGCACACAGUGGAAGAGGAGUUCUCAGCAAGGCACAUCACUUGUGUCUUAUUUUCCCCUCUCUACUACUGAGGAAAUGGGCUACAAGACACCAGAUAAAGGAAUCCUGGAAGUGAUAGAGGUCUGCCAUUCCUGAUCUGCAAACCACAUCCGGACAUACAUAAUUCAAGGAUGCACAUCGGUCGCCCAGACUGAGGGGACAGGAAUAUAUGCCCAGGAAAGAACGUUUCAAGCAAACGCUCACAGCACCAGCUGCCAACGGGAGAAGAAAAGCAGAGAGGACUCCCGCAGACCGACGUGGGAAAGUAGAAACAAUGAUUACAGGGUCUGAGAAAGGGCCCCUAGUUGGAUGAAAUCACAUCGUCUGAUUUGGGUUUUGAUUUUGUAAUUACCCGGACCUCAAGAAUAUAACUGCAGCACACGUACUGUUUCCAAAGUGGGUGGGACCAUGUGAGCCCGUGACGAUUUCAAGCCUGCACUUUGACAUUCAAGUUGGAAUCUAAGAGUUAACAAGAGCAAGCCCUGCUUUAAAUAGUAGCUUAAUUUUAAGUUCCACAUCAUGGUCCCUGGAAGCAGAUGGGGCAACUUGUGCUUCUAUUUUCUUUCUUCAGUCUGGAGCUAAUAUAGAAUAUUGAUUCCUAAUGUGAGAAUUUUGAGGGUGAAAACUUGAGAUUGGCUUUCUUGGUCAAAUUUGUGUUUCUCAAGGUCAAGGAACUAUGUCUCCAUUCUUUCCUUGUCAGCUCAGGUACCAUGUAUAUUGAUGAUUAUCAAUGGAAACAUUUAAAGAGUGGAAAAAUGCUGAAAACCUCUUUUUUAGCUGUGACCUUUUAGAAUAAAUCAGGAAAUUACCCCCGACAGAGUUUUCUGGAGAUGUGGAGAAUUUUCCCAGAAGCAACCCACCUGCCAUUGUGUAAAAUGUCACAAAAACACUAGAUGUCAAAAGAAUAUAGUAAUCGUCUUCGUGUUGGAUGGCCUGAGAGGGGUUGUUUAGUUGAGAGACCCCGAAUUUCUAAAGAACAAAUAUGAAAGUGGAGUCUGAAGACUCUCCCUGUCCUAGUGUAUCUUUGAUCAAACUGAACCUGCAAAGAAGUGUGGCAGGCUCUAAAUGCCGCAGAGACUAGCUGCUCAGGAAAUACAUGCUGGUGACUUUACUGAACAUGUCACAUCAAAGGGAAAAAAAUGCCCCACUGAGUGGAAAGUUCUGCUGGUGUACAAUGUCAAGAGAGAAUAGAAAUGAGAUUAAAUUUCAGGAUUUCUGGAUUUGGUUAAUAGAUUCUGUCUUUCAAAUAUAAGAACUUGAAGUGAUUCUGUUGCUUUAGGAGAAAAAUAUCCAAAGGUGCAUCUGAGAACCAAGUCUGAAGAGGAAUGAAAAUAUAACUAAUCUAGAGAGAGAGAGAGAGAGUAUUGUAAUCCUUAGACAAGUGGUGCAAAAAAUUAUUUUCAGCCGUGGCAUCCAAGAUGGCUGCAGUUCCCUAGCACAGAUACUUCCAAAAGCUGAUUCCAGGUUUUAGGCAAGUCCCAGUUCACCAUUUGCAAUGUGUUCUCCCAAGGAGUUCAGAAUAUGCCAUCCCAAAAUAUGCAGCUCUGGCACAUUGACUAUUUUGAAAUAAAGGCACUCAAAACAAGAGAAGAAAUUCCCAUGUGAAAGACCUCCUUUUUGUAGGAAAAGGAAUAACAUUCUUACUAUCAGUGACAGGAAGCUGAAACCAAGAGAAAUCUGUACAGACCUUGUUAAAGUGUCUCUUGUCUUUGAAGCACCCUCACAUAAUUCAAUUGCUUUGGUACAGUUUACUAUUUUUUGCCCAAUUCAACAUAUAGUUUUUGUCUAAUUCAACAUAUAGUGAUUGUGUCUAACUGCCUCUGAGUCUUCAUUCCUUCUUAUACCUCAUAAAACUUGCAUUAGAUAAAUGUGUAUGCUUUUCUCUUGUCAGUCUAUCUUGAGUGAAGUUAGUUCUCCAGCCCAGCCAGGAACCUAAGAGGAUGCAGGUGGAGUUUUGCUACCCCUACAGCUCCUUUCUUGAGAUUGGAGGAGCCUAGAGCAAAAUGUUGGAGAAUGAUUUGGGGAGAAUAAACAUUCUAACUUAUAUACUAUAAAGAAGAAGACUAUGCUGCGGUAUUUCACAUCAUUAACAAGCCACUUAAACCCCACUUUGCAGCUGCUGAUACAGAAAUGCCUUGCUAGAUGUCAGCUCUUGCACUCCACAAUAGCUGUGAAGGCUUGUGAUGGCCCCAUCGGAACGAUCAAUGAUUAAAACCCAGAAACCUAAGCCAGUGCAGCCAUUUCAUUUAUGUUUCCUUCUGUUAGGGGCCAAAAGGUCAAGCUAUCUUGGUUUCUCUUCCUUUUCUCUUUCCUUUCUUCUAGGCGGCUAGCUCUAUCUCACCAUGACCCCCGCCCCAAUGCUUGAGAUAAAAAAUGCCAUUUUGCUCCAGACUGGGCCAGUCAAAGUGUCUCUGACUACCUCGGAUCCUCACAUUUUCCAGAGGGCAGCAGCUACAAAUUAAAUAAAUCUCUACUCCUCUCGAUACACAUCAUUUCACUAGGAGUGAUAGACUUGUUUAUUCCAGUCUCACCUUCUUGAGACUAAGGGUCUGAGAAGACCAGGUGGAGAACUGCAUCUUGCCAAAGGUGAAUUACUGUAGCUGGGAUCUGAUUUAGAAUCAAGUGAUGUUUGGUCACCGUACUCACAGAGAUGUACUUAUCUAUUGAAGAGUUUUUCUUUGGCAUAGGAUGGACAUGGAUUUUGAGUCCAGGUUUUGCUAAUUCCUAGGUAUAAAACCACAGGCAAAUCACUUAACAUCUCUAAGUUUUAGUUUUCUCAUAUAUAAAAGAUGUUAAUUCAUGUAUCUUUACAAACUUGUUGAAUACAGUAUCUGGCAUAGCAUAAAUGUUUACAAAUAUGAUUGUGGUGGACAAAACUGAAGCUCAUUAAAUCCAUAGUCUUUUCUUCCUGUGCUCAUGGCUUAACUACAUUUCCCAGCUUCCUUUGCAAGUAGAUGUGACCACAUACUGCUUCUAGCCAAUGGAAUAAGAGCAGAAAUGAGAUUCAUAAACACAGUGUGUAAUCCUCUGCAGUCUUCGUUUCUGCUGGGCUGAAAUUGUGUUGUGGUUUAGAUCAAGAACAUCCCCCAAGAACCUCCAAGGUUGGACUUGUGGAAAGUGAUUGGACUAUGGGGACCUAGAGCUGACUUUCUGUUACGAGGUAGAGCAUAGUUAGAAGCAGAUCACCGGGGACGGGACCCGGAAGGGUCCCUGCAUAGCUCCCUGUUGUCUGUUUCCUGGCUGCCAUGAAGUGAGCAGCUUUCCUCCAUCUAGGCCAUUCUGCCAUGCUAUUACUGGACUGCUGAACAUGGUCUGAAACUUCUGAACUAUGAGCCAAAAUGAACCAUUCUGUCUUUAAGUUACUGGUGUUAGGUAUUUUAUCCCAGUGAUGAGGAAAGUGACUAAGAUAAAUGGAGAUGGUCCAGGAUGACCUUCGAAUCCAUGUGUUGAAGAUGGCAGCUCUGAAGGACCAUAGAGGACUAUAGUGGCCUGUUUACCUGCCCAGGACUGUCAUGUGAGUAAGAAACCAAGUUUGCUGGUGUUGAGUUGUUUUCCACUUUGCAGUCAGUUUGAUAAACUCCUAGAAGUAGGACGAAUCCAGUUUGUACCAGGUCACAAAAGUUGUUGGUUACAUUUACUGCAGGAGCUUUGGGAGUCAUUUGAUGUCAUAUUUCUAAGGUUGAAAUCAGCCAUGGUGGGAAUAUUUACACCACAGAAAAUGGCAGAUACUAUAAAUCAGGACUCUUUUUCUCCUCGCUGGAACAUUUACCAGAACAUCACUGGUAGGGAAUACAUUAUGUUCCUCAUUACCUUAUCCUAAAGCUUCAUAACCUGAUGCAUUGUACAUUUGUAUGACUCAAAAAGUGUUUGUGGCUAUGAAUCAAGGUAAGACUUGAAUAAAUCAAAAGAAAAUCAUAAAAGGAUGAAAAUAAUAUUUAGGUUUAGAUAGAGAUAUGACAAAGGGAAAAUGACAGUUUAAUCUUUGCCUGUCUGAAAUAGAGAUAUUUGGGCUCAAGGGCAUAUUUUUGUGUCUUGGGUCUCUUUAGUAAUUUCAGGUCCCUCUGGAUAAAGAAGAUGUGGUUUCUUUAUAAGAUGGAGUUCUACUCAGCCAUAAAGAGUGAGAAA